CAGAUGCCUCCUUGUUCCAGGCUGACAAGCCCGGGCUUGUGCUUAUUUCACUGUCUAACCCUGCCCAGGCCCCGGGGAGAAGCCUGGUAUUCUUCGUGUUUAUUUAAUUGUCAACUCUCUGUGUUCUAAGACGAUACCCUGGCCUUGACUCAGUACAACCUAGGACGGUAAGUCCCAUCAUGUCUAUGGACUUCAGUUUCCAGACAUGAAACACAAGAGGCUUGGACGAGAUUAGAAAUCAAGAACUCGAAUGCGUAUGGUCAGAGCCACGAGAGUUUCCAUAAAGGAACACAACCAUGUGGACAACUUGAUUAUGCCCUACAAAACUCUUGCUGUACAAGGCAGAAUGUAAGGAAUUCCUGUGAGCAUUCCUCUUCAAGAUGGAAGAAAAAGGGAAUAUUUCACAACCCCAAUGGUGAAACGUCUGCCUAUAGCCAACAAUACAAUCGUCUUGCUCUGUCACCCAGGCUGAAAUGCAGUGGCGCCAUCUCGUCUCACUCGGCUCACUACAACCUCCGCC
rnacentral:lncRNA from 1 species